rnacentral:rRNA from 1 species
UACGUAGGUGGCAAGCGUUUGUCCGGAUUUAUUGGGGUUUAAAGGGUGCGUAGGCGGUCUUAUAAGUCAGUGCUGAAAUAUCCCGGCUUAACCGGGAGGGUGGCAUUGAUACUGUAGGACUUUGAGUGAAGUCGAGGUAGGCGGAAUUGACGGUGUAGCGGUGAAAUGCUUAGAUAUCGUCAAGAACACCAAUAGUGAAGACAGUUUACUAGACUUCAACUGACGCUGAGGCACGAAAGUGUGGGGAUCAAACAGG